GUGAGGAAUAUUGGUCAAUGGGCGCGAGCCUGAACCAGCCAAGUAGCGUGCAGGAUGACGGCCCUACGGGUUGUAAACUGCUUUUGCAGGGGAAUAAAGUGAGGCACGUGUGCCUUUUUGCAUGUACCCUGAGAAUAAGGACCGGCUAAUUCCGUGCCAGCAGCCGCGGUAAUACGGAAGGUCCGGGCGUUAUCCGGAUUUAUUGGGUUUAAAGGGAGCGCAGGCCGGAGAUUAAGCGUGACGUGAAAUGCCGCGGCUCAACCGUGGAAGUGCGUCGCGAACUGGUUUUCUUGAGUGUAUUCGACGUAGGCGGAAUUCGUGGUGUAGCGGUGAAAUGCUUAGAUAUCACGAAGAACCCCGAUUGCGAAGGCAGCCUACGAGUCUACAACUGACGCUAAAGCUCGAAGGUGCGGGUAUCGAACAGGAUUAGAAACCCUAGUAGUCC
rnacentral:rRNA from 1 species